GAUUAGAGUUUGAUCAUGGCUCAGAUUGAACGCUGGCGGCAUGCUUUACACAUGCAAGUCGAACGGUAACAGGGAGCUUGCUCCGCUGACGAGUGGCGAACGGGUGAGUAAUGCAUCGGAACGUGCCGUGUAGUGGGGGAUAACGUAGCGAAAGUUACGCUAAUACCGCAUACGCCCCGAGGGGGAAAGUGGGGGACCGCAAGGCCUCACGCUAUACGAGCGGCCGAUGUCGGAUUAGCUAGUUGGUAGGGUAAAGGCCUACCAAGGCGACGAUCCGUAGCGGGUCUGAGAGGAUGAUCCGCCACACUGGGACUGAGACACGGCCCAGACUCCUACGGGAGGCAGCAGUGGGGAAUUUUGGACAAUGGGCGCAAGCCUGAUCCAGCCAUGCCGCGUGAGUGAAGAAGGCCUUCGGGUUGUAAAUCUCUUUCAGACGGAAAGAAAUCGGUGCGUUUAAUACAUGCACUGGAUGACGGUACCGUAAGAAGAGCACC
rnacentral:rRNA from 1 species